GGUAGGUACAUUCAAACAAAGGCUUAAUAAUUAAUUCCGGAGUAAUAUUAUUUUAAAAGUUUUAAUUUGGAGUUCAUUAUAUUUUUUUGAUAAAUAAAAAUAUUACAUUUAUUUUUCUUAUCGUUUAUAAAUAGAAUAAGAAUUUCAUUACGUAUGCGAUUUGGAACCUAAAUAGUAAAAUUCAAUAACUAAAGUUUUCAUAUGGAAUGUAAAUAGAGUUGGAAAGUAAAAUUAUUAUGUAUUAAAAUAUUUAUUUAUUUAAACAAAACACAAUUUAUAGUAAAAAAUAUUUCUUCUCGUGAAUGUUUACUUAUUCCUGAUAUGUGGCAUCGCUUUGAGGGCAUUUGUACAACUUUGUGUGUUUAUUUACAACCAGCUGUUUUGUGAAUUUCAUACAUAAUUUUAUUUUGUCGGCAUUUUAUUUAAAGAAAGAAAUUAAGACAAAUAUCAGGAAUAUACCUACAUUUGCUAUUAUAACUAUCAACAUGAAUACUAUGACAAAUGUGAAGAAUGUUCUUAAACUCAGUGCAACUGACUUAAAAGGUGGCAAGAAAUCAUGGCAUGAUAUGUAUAAGGAUUCAGCAUGGAUCUUUGUUGGUGGUUUACCAUACACACUAACGGAAGGCGAUAUAAUCUGUGUAUUUUCACAGUAUGGCGAAAUUGUGAAUAUUAACUUGAUAAGGGAUAAAAGUAGUGGAAAGUCAAAAGGUUUUUGUUUUAUUUGUUACGAAGACCAACGUUCUACUAUCUUGGCAGUUGAUAAUUUAAAUGGUAUUAAACUACUUGGGCGUACAAUACGCGUGGAUCACGUCGCCGAUUAUAAACCACCAAAAGAGAAUGAAAAAAUGGACGAGGAGACACUUAGAUUGUAUAUAGAGGGCUGUGCACCAAAACCAAUGGUGCAGAAACAGGAACGAACAUAAAGAUUUACAUUCCGCAGCACAUCUUUUUAAAGAUAAUAUAUUUACCGAAUAUAACAGUUAAAUAAAACAUAGUAAAUAUAUAAUAAUGUAGGUAGCGUGUUGUCGCACUCAAAUAUGUCCAAAUAUAAACUUUGGUCACUACGCAAAAUUACCUCGUAUUAUUGCUUUUGCUAGAUGCCAAAAAACAAUAUCAAAAUAAAAAUUUAAUUAAAAGUCUACAUUUUAAAUUCAUAUUUUAUUUUAUUUUUAUAAAAAUGCUUACUUCCAAUUAUAAAUUAGACAUUUUCAGACUUCCUUGAAGUAAAAUUUUGUUACAUUAAACAAAAAUGGUUUAUCACAACGUUUCUAGAAAUAAAUGAUUCUAACGUGCCAUUACUGGGCAGACGAAUAAUAUAGUAGUUUUAAUUAUACUUUUUACACAAAACAUUUGAAGAUAAAAGUUUAUAUUUAUGUAUGUAUGUAUGUAUAUAUGUAGGUCGAUUAGCGAUAGUCAUAUUAAAAAUAAACAGCAAACUUUUUACAAAUCUAUUAUUUCCAUUAAAACCGAAGUAGUAAAGUUUAAAGCAGAGAGAUCUGUCCAAAAUAUAAAAUAUGCCUAUCUAUUGAUUUUACGAUGUUUUUUAAUUCCUGUAAAGAGAAAUCAUAGAAUCAGUAUGAUUUGUUGUAAUCGAAAUUAACAUUGAAAAUUACGCCACAUACUUGCAUUACAAUGUCGACCAUAAAAGCCGCGAUCACAUUUACAUGUUUUAUUCGCCGUACAGACACCGUGCUUGCAAGGACGCCUACAGGUUGAGCGUUGUAUGCGCUCGAUCUCGCAAUGGUUGCCCAGCAAUCCGCUUGGACAACGACAAAUAUUGGUGCCUAUGCAACGACCGCCAUUUUUACAAGGAAUUACACAUUUAGCUAAAAAAAAUUUAGAAUAACAUACAAAUAAAAUUAAAAGUUAUAGAUAUAUGUGUGCACUUACAAAAUUCGCAGUGCAGUCCAUAGUAACCUUUUGAACAUUGGCAUUUAUCCUUCUGUAUGCAUUUGCCACCAUUCAAGCAUUUUUCAGAGCAGAUGCCUGAAAAAUAUUAAUAAUUUACUAAAAAUAAAUGCGGCUGAAUUACAUAUUUUCAAUAAUAUAAACUUAAUAAUUAAGUAGUUGAUUGGUAUAAAAAAAUCUAGGUUUGCGCCACCUUCGUAAAAUGAAAAAAAAUUGUAUAUAAUUAAACUCUACAUUCUUAAUAUGCACAAUUUGAAGAUUUCGGUAAAUUUAUUAUUCCUGAACAGCUAGAUCAUAUUCUAAUUGUUGAAUGUUGUUGUGAACGGAACCAGAUUUAUAUAUCGGGUUAGGAAUCGCUAACAUAAUAAUAUUAAUAAACAACUCAAAAAAAUGAGUUUCAAAACGUUUAAACGUAAAAAUAUUACAAAAUUUGCUUAUAGAAGUUUGAACUCCACUUUUAUGUUGCUUUCACUUUACAUAGUAUCUUUUAGGCGCGUUAUUAAAGCAGAUAACGGUUUCAUUUGUGACAUUUCAUAAAUCAAAAUGAUUUUAUUAUGAUUUAAAAUUUUUGAGUGGUAUUUAUUAUUUUUUUUUUUUGUUUUUCUUUCCUUUCCAUUUCUCAUUCACUCAGUAUUCAAGCAUGCUGCGCCUCUCGAACAUAUCAAACAACAGUUGGCGCCUCAUACGGUGCCGACCGAUACUGCAACAGUCUCAGCAAAAUGUCGCAACUGAGCAUGGAAGUAAAGAAAAUCCAGAAUCCACCACGACACUACGUAAGCGGCCCACUAAAUUGACAGAUGAGAUCAUACGUGUUGAUCAUGCUGGUGAAUUGGGUGCCGAUCGUAUUUAUGCCGGUCAAAUGGCGGUUUUAGGUAAAGGUCCGAUGGGCAAGACUAUUGCGCACAUGUGGGAACAGGAGAAGGAGCAUCGCAGAAAAUUCGAAACACUCAUACAAGAGCACAGAGUGCGACCCACCAUUAUGGUGCCGAUUUGGAAUGUAGCCGGCUUUAUGUUGGGAGCGGGCACUGCAUUGCUGGGUGAAAAAGCUGCCAUGGCUUGCACCGUUGCUGUGGAGACAGUUAUCGUGGAGCAUUACAAUGAACAAUUGCGACAAAUUAUGGAAUCCCCCAAACCGGAUAAGGAACUCUUGGAUACAAUAACAAAGUUCCGUGAUGAGGAACAAGAACAUCAUGAUACGGGUAUUAAUUGUGGCGCUGAACAGGCACCCUUUUAUAAAGCAAUUACGGAAGUUAUCAAAAUCGGCUGUAAGACAGCUAUUGCUAUUUCGAAACGUAUUUAAAAAUGUA